UACGUAGGGUGCAAGCGUUAAUCGGAAUUACUGGGCGUAAAGCGUGCGCAGGCGGUGAUGCAAGACAGAUGUGAAAUCCCCGGGCUUAACCUGGGAACUGCAUUUGUGACUGCAUUGCUGGAGUGCGGCAGAGGGGGAUGGAAUUCCGCGUGUAGCAGUGAAAUGCGUAGAUAUGCGGAGUAACACCGAUGGCGAAGGCAAUCCCCUGGGCCUGCACUGACGCUCAUGCACGAAAGCGUGGGGAGCAAACAGG
rnacentral:rRNA from 1 species